GACGGCCCGGCGGGGGCGCGCGGGGCCCAGUAGCCGGCAGGAAGCGGCCCCGCCCUUCGCGUGCGGCCUUGGGGCCGGGGCGGGAGCCUGGCUGCGCGUUCGCACUUGACCUGCAUCCGGGUUUUCUUGUUCCGCGCAGUAUACCACUCAAACUGGAUUAAACAACAAAUGGAAUUCAUUACCUCAUGUAAUGCAGAAAAGUUGUGGGCUUCAAGCAUGGCUGGAUCUAAGGGCUUAAAAGAGAUACCAGCGUGGACUGCUUCAAUGGGUCCCUAAUUCUCUGGCUUACAGUUGAAUUUAUCCAUAGAAGACAUUGGAAGCGUGCAGAGGAUUGGAGGAGGAUGAAUUUGGGACCUGGGACCUGGGACCCUUUGCUGCAGUACUUGCACCUGGACAAAUAUCUCCUCGACCAGCAGAAUACAAGAAACUAUAAGGAACUAAAAAUAACUGCCCACAUGUGCAGUUGGGGCAAAAUAUGAACAAUGAGCAAGGUCUGAUGGGUGCCACAUGCGUGUGAGCAGAGGAGUUAAAAGCAACGUGUGUGCGGCAUUCUUUGCACAUAGCAUUCCUGACGUCCUCAUCAGGCGUGCUCAAGGCAAAUCCUAGGAAGAAGGCAACGGACAAGGAUCCCCAUCAUGUCCUUCUUACGCGUGUUACUUCCCUGUAUCAGCCUAUCAGACAACCACUUCUGCUGAAAAUGGUGCCCUAGAUGGAAAGGGAAAGCUCAGGCCACCCACAGCUCCUUCUCUUUUUAUUUCUUUACUCAUCAAUAAGCUGAAGGCAGAGAAUGUUGGUAGGAUAUGUGUAUACCCAUUAAGAAAUAAAAACAAUUGAGUUAGUUUUGUGUAGGAUUUCCAUUGUUUGGGUAAGAACACAAUACCUAUUCAUGUACAAGCAAUGAAAUACGAAUUGUGUCAUAUCAGUGAUUUCCAUAUGAGUUAGUGCUCUUAUAUUUGCGUUUAAAAUGGGUAUUGCGGGCUUACCUGGUGGCGCAGUGGUUGAGAAUCUGCC